ACGGAGGGUGCGAGCGUUAAUCGGAAUCACUGGGCGUAAAGCGCACGUAGGCGGUGUCGUAAGUCGGAUGUGAAAGCCCUCGGCUCAACCGGGGAACUGCAUUCGAUACUGCGGUACUUGAGUGCCGGAGAGGGAGGUGGAAUUCCAGGUGUAGCGGUGAAAUGCGUAGAUAUCGGGAGGAACACCAGUGGCGAAGGCGGCUUCCUGGCCGACAACUGACGCUCAUGUGCGAAAGCUGGGGGAGCAAACGG
rnacentral:rRNA from 1 species